CUACCUGCAGUCGAGCGGUAGCACAGAGAGUUUUGUCUCGCGAUUUGACGAGUGACGGACGGGUGAGGAAUGUCUGGGAAACUGCCUGAUGGAGGUGGAUAACUACUGGAAACGGUAGUUAAUACCGCAUAACGUCGGAGACCAAAGAGGGGGACCUUCGGGCCUCUUGCCAUCGAAUGUGCCCAGAUGGGAUUAGCUGGUAGGUGGGGUAACGGCUCACCUAGGCAACCAUCCCUGGCUGGUCUGAGAGGAUGACCACCCUCACUGUAACUGACACACGGUACUCACUCCUACGGGAGGCAGGGGUGGGGAAUAUUGCUGAUGGGCGCCUGCCUGAUGCAUGCAUGCCGCGUGAAUGAAGAAUGCCUUCUGGUUGUAAAUUACUUUCGGCGGGGAAGGAAGGUGUUGUGAUUAAUAACCUGCUUUGACUGACGUUACCCAAAAACACCCACCUAGCUUACUCCGUGCCAGCAGCCCGCGAUAAAUACGGAGGGAAGCGUGCGUUAAUAGUACUUACUGGGACGUAAAGCGGUACGCAGGCUCACCUACUAGACGUAUGAUACAUCCCCCGUGCAUCCACCUGAGUAGCUGCAUUACAUACUGGCUGAUUAGUCUUGAGGAGGGGGGAAUAACUCCAGAG
rnacentral:rRNA from 1 species